rnacentral:rRNA from 1 species
GACGAACGCUGGCGGCGUGCCUAACACAUGCAAGUCGAGCGAAGUUAUUCCUUCGGGAAUAACUUAGCGGCGGACGGGUGAGUAACACGUGGGUAACCUGCCUUAUAGAGGGGGAUAGCCUUCCGAAAGGAAGAUUAAUACCGCAUAACAUUGAGCUUUCGCAUGGAAGCUUAAUCAAAGGAGUAAUCCGCUAUAAGAUGGACCCGCGGCGCAUUAGCUAGUUGGUGAGGUGACGGCUCACCAAGGCGACGAUGCGUAGCCGACCUGAGAGGGUGAUCGGCCACAUUGGGACUGAGACACGGCCCAGACUCCUACGGGAGGCAGCAGUGGGGAAUAUUGCACAAUGGGGGAAACCCUGAUGCAGCAACGCCGCGUGAGUGAUGAAGGCCUUCGGGUUGUAAAGCUCUGUCUUUGGGGACGAUAAUGACGGUACCCAAGGAGGAAGCCACGGCUAACUACGUGCCAGCCGCCGCAGUAAGAC